rnacentral:rRNA from 1 species
UAAAAAUUAAUUUUAUCAUAUUAAAGUAGUAUUAGUUAUGUUCUUGAAAUUUAAAAAAUUUGGCGGUAUUUUAGUCUAUUCAGAGGAACCUGUUUUGUAAUCGAUAGUCCACGAUGAAUCUUACUUAAAUUUGUUUUUAUAGUUUAUAUAUCGUUGUUUAUUGAAUAUUUUAUAAGAAUAAUAAUUUUCUUAAUUUUUAAUUAAAAAUUAUAUCAGAUCAAGAUGUAGCUUAUAUUUAAGUUUAUAAUGGGUUACAAUUAUAUUAUUAAUGAAUUUAAGUUUAAAAAAAUUUAAUGAAAUUGGAUUUGAUAGUAAAUUUAUAUAGAUAAAUAAAUUGAUUUUAGCUCUAAAAUAUG